GGUCAGGGAGUGAGCUCCUGGAAGCGCACCUUCUACUACAACGCGCGGCGGCUGGACGACCACCAGACGGUGCGCGACGUGCGACUACAGGACGGCUCGGUGCUUCUGCUCGUCAGCGACCCCAGGUAACCUGGGUUGGAGGAUGCGGAGCCAUGGCCGAGGGGACCAAAGGUGCUGGCUGAAGGAGCAGCUGGGAUGGGGAGGCGACUCUCCUGGGAGCCUUGACCUCACUCAGGGUUCUGGGCUCCCAGGAUAGAUGGUGAAACACUGGCCUGCCCAGCUGCUGCCCGCCACCUGGGACCUUUCUGAUGGAGCCCUAGUCCCUGACACGGACUGAGGACAUUGCUGCUCCAGGCCAGCCAGCCUUCCAGUUGUGCUGUGUGAUCCUGAGGCCAUGGCUCCCACCUUGGAGCUUCAAGUGCCUAGGGGGAUCCACAGUGUCAUCUUGGGAGGCAGCUGGAGGAUGUCACAUGUGGAGAAGCAUAGAGUGGAGACGAGGGGAGCUUGUGGGCAUCACCAGCUCCUGCCUUGAGCGUUCUCUCGGGCAUGCCUCUGCCCAAGCUGUGCCCCAUGCUGGAAGCACUUCUCACACCCCUGUCUUCAGCUCCAGUCCACCGGGGAUUGCAGCCUCCUCCAGGAAGUCUUGGAUUUCCUUCUUCCCAGUCAGUGAGCACCUUGUCCUCUUUGGGGCCCCCACAGUCCCCCUCUACUGUGAAGAGCCUCAGCUGAUGGGUGUGGCCGGUUACUCACGAACUCUCAAAUGACUGAAGGUGAAGACUGGGGGACACCAGCCCUCUCUCAGCACUCCAGGGUUGCACUUUCCGCCUCCCCCAAACCUCUCUGCAAGUUGCACCCAUGCCUGCUCCCUUGUCGGCGUCCUUCACUUGCAGCACAGGGUCCUCUGGUUGAAUGGGUGGGGGUCUGUGCCUGGCAGAGCGCUGAGACAUUGACGAUAAUCAUGGGGGUGAUCCAGACUAUUCCAGGCAGUGUGUUGUAGGAAUUCUGGGUACAAGACCCUCUGGGUGGGGAAUUCCCUGUGGUCCAGUGGUUAGGACUCUGCUUCCGCUGUGCUUCCAGCCAGGGUUCAAUCCCUGGUUGGGGAAUUAAGAUUGCACAAGCUGCGGUGUGGGGACAGGGAAAAGAAAAAAGGCCCUCCAAGUAGAACGCGGGUACUCAGUUGUAUUUCUGAUCUUUGGCCGCAAGGCAUCGGGUCCUCUGUGCAGUCCACCCACCACCCGGGGUAGCCCAUUCGCAUGCGCUCUCGAGGGCUCCAUCCAUGCCCUGGGUGCUGGCAUCACAGGGCAGAGGCUCAGAAGUCUGGGAAGAAAUAAUGUUUUAAUUAAGAGUUUUGUUGGCUGCAGGGCCCAGGGUAGGGACAGAUGGAUAAUAAAUCGUGGCCAUGGGGAGAAUAGCGCUCAGAUCGGACUUUGUCUUCCACUGGGUGGGGACAGCACCAGGCCUUGGGGGCUCUGCUAGCCUCCCCUCAGACAAGCCUCUCGGGUUGGCUUUCCUCCCCCUGGGGCCAGGCAGCCCAGGCCCCUGCUCCUGCCUGGUUUUGGCCUUGGUGGGUCACGCAAACGCUGAGGAACCUGCCCACUCCCCAUCCCCCACCCCCACCCCCCAGGGCCCAGCAGGAAAGUGGGGAUUUUAAUAGUCACCCCAGCUCUGUUCCUUGGUUCUCACUAUGUCCCUAGGCCUGUGCCUGGCCUCCAUUUAUUCUAGUCUGCCAACUGAAAGGAUCGUCAGUGGUGGUGAGGAUUAUGACCCAUUUUACAGAUGGAGCAUCUAGGGUCACCCCGUUCCCCUCGGCUCUGCUGCCCUGGCCAUCCUUGAACUGAAGGGUCCCCAGCCCAUGCACAGGUCCCUGAUAGAGGAAGGGGGAGAGUUUCCUGCUUCUUGGCUGAGGUGGGGGUGGGAGAAAGCAUUUUCAGGCCUUUUUUGACAUUUUAACAAACAGUAUGCAAAUCACAUGCAAAUCACAUGCAAAUCACCACUCAUUUCUUAAUCCUCGACAGCUCCACCGUGUUCUGAUAUAAUAAUGUUGGACCUGUCACUUGGUAUUGGCCUGGAGGAGGGGUGCAAGUCUUUUCUCUUCCAUUGUUCUCUCCCUUCCUUUCUUCCUGUUAUCUCUUUACUCCCUUCACAGUGUUAGUUGGAGUCCUCCCAGUCCUGAGAUGAACAUAAACCGCAAAAGUGGCUUCCAACAUUCCCAUUUUCCAGAUGGGAAAACUGAGGCACAGAGAGGGACAAGCCUGGCCUGAGAUCCCAGCACCGCUUGUGGAAAGCAUCCCCACCAAGUACUGUCAUGGCCCAAAGCAGACAGUACCCGUGACCCACAGAGGAGAGAUAACAGUGGUUGGAGCAGGCCUAAUACAGCUUGGAGGAGCCAGGGGGAACUCUCCUUGGGUUUCUUGGCCUGAAUGGCAGUCUGCUUGGAUCUGGAGAAAUCUGACAUCUACUGAUCUUACUCCUCAAGUCAUUUCUUUUGCUAUGCCAUCAUCAUGUUCUUUGAAUUCAGGCCACAGCCUCUCUGCUCAGUUUGCAUGCCUUACUGUUUCUGUUUGCAAACUCCUCUUCAUCCUUCAAAGUCCCAGCUCCUAUGCCCCCUUCUUUAUGCAGCCAUUUCUGAUCCGUCUGAGGUCUGAUCUUUCUCUCUGGUCCAGCCCUGACCCUUUUGUGCACAGCAGCAUUAUUGUACACUCUGGAUCAUUCCCAGCACUUUUCUGAUUAUUGUUUUUUGCUUUUGGUUGCACUGGGUCUUAAUGGCUGUGUUCAGGCUUUCUCCAGUUGUGCUGAAUGGACACUACUCUUUGUUGCGGCUCACAGGCUUCUUACUGCAGUGGCUUCUCUUGUCGUGGAGCACAGGCUCUAGGCACACAGGUUUCAGUAGC